CCGGGCACAGCUGCGCCUCGUCCGGAGCCCGGGGCGGGGGCGGGAGGCGGGCCCCCCCCCAAAGCCUCUUAAGCUCCGCCGGAGGCCGCUGGGAGCUACGAGCGAGUUCGCGAGGAGUUCUUCUCCUGGGGGAGUCGUAGCGGGUGCCGCUGCUCCGUGGGCUCCAGGCUCCGUUUUCGUACGGAACCCUCGGGAUUCUCUCCAACGUUCUCCGCUCGUCGUUUGGUUUCGGGCUGCGGCGAGAGCCCUCGCGGUAAGGACCGGCCCCGACGGCAGCGGGGAUGCGGCGGGAGGCCGCCGGGUUCUCGCCCCGCUCGAUUCGGGGCCGGCGCUGGGCUCCCGUCGGGCUGCCCCAGCUUCUCCGGAGCCGGCCUCGCGUCGCCGCCGCUCGGUUCCCCGAGUCCCGCUGCGGCCUUGCGGCGCUCUCGGCAACCCUGGGUUUGUUUCUUUCUUUAUUUUCGUUGUAGCGAGUUCUUCAGUUCUCUCCGCUCUUCACGGGGGAAGCGAGCGGGACGGGGCCGGCCGUCUCCGACCUCGGCGCCGCACGAAGCCAAGCGUUUUCUUCUUGCAGGCGGAGCCAGGGCUGCGGCGGAGCGCCCGUCGGCCCGAAGGGGUGCAACUCUAGGAGCGCGAUCUCGUUCCCACCGCGGAGACGCGGCGGGGCGGCUCGCGGGACCGGCACGCUGUUGCGGCUGGCUGCGCUGUGUUGAGAACAGACGGAGCGGCGAGGCGGCGGAGUUGCUCUUCCCGCGGGAGAAGCGGCAGGUAUUGAGCCGUGCCCGGGGAUGGAUGGAGAACGAGCGCGGCGCUGGCGUGGGAAGAAGACGUGGGGGACAUCAUCCAGCCCUGGACGAGGAAGCUGGCGAGCGCUUCGGCACGCGGCUGGAAGUGGCCUCCUGGCUGCGGGUGUCGCUGCUCAGGGAGCUGCUCGGAGGCGUCGCUUAG
rnacentral:lncRNA from 1 species